rnacentral:rRNA from 1 species
AUUGAACGCUGGCGGCAUGCCUUACACAUGCAAGUCGAACGGCAGCACGGGAGCAAUCCUGGUGGCGAGUGGCGAACGGGUGAGUAAUACAUCGGAACGUGCCCAGUAGUGGGGGAUAGCCCGGCGAAAGCCGGAUUAAUACCGCAUACGACCUAUGGGUGAAAGCGGGGGAUCGCAAGACCUCGCGUUAUUGGAGCGGCCGAUGUCAGAUUAGGUUGUUGGUGGGGUAAAAGCCUACCAAGCCGACGAUCUGUAGCUGGUCUGAGAGGACGACCAGCCACACUGGGACUGAGACGCGGCCCAGACUCCUACGGGAGGCAGCAGUGGGGAAUUUUGGACAAUGGGCGCAAGCCUGAUCCAGCCAUGCCGCGUGCGGGAAGAAGGCCUUUCGGGUUGUAAACCGCUUUUGUCAGGGAGGAAACGGUCUGUACUAAUACUGCGGACUAAUGACGGUACCUGAAGAAUAAGCACCGGCUAACUACGUGCCAGCAGCCGCGGUAAUACGUAGGGUGCAAGCGUUAAUCGGAAUUACUGGGCGUAAAGCGUGCGCAGGCGGCUUUGCAAGACAGGUGUGAAAUCCCCGGGCUUAACCUGGGAACUGCAUUUGUGACUGCAAGGCUGGAGUGCGGCAGAGGGGGAUGGAAUUCCGCGUGUAGCGGUGAAAUGCGUAGAUAUGCGGAGGAACACCGAUGGCGAAGGCAAUCCCCUGGGCCUGCACUGACGCUCAUGCACGAAAGCGUGGGGAGCAAACAGGAUUAGAUACCCUGGUAG